UUCUGUAAACCACUUAGGGCUGUAGAGCACUGUGAAGCGGUACAUACAGUAAGUCUAAGUGCUAUUGCUAUAUAGGCAACUUUAUGGGGUCAUACCAUUAAAAUGUGUUGCUAGGUUACAAACUGUGGUUCAGUACAAUGGGAAACCCCCUUACUCUGCAUUUAAUAAAGCGUAUUGUGGUAUCCUAGCCUUCUCAAACAGAUCUGUCUUCCCACUGUAUGAACUCCCAUAAUCUCAGCUAACAUGGCACCCGCUCUUGGAAGAUUACUUUAAAAAACUAUCACGGAUUAACUAUGGGAUAACUUUUAAUAAUAACCUUUAUGCAGGAGCAUUGGAGUGCGGGUGGCAGGGAGCCAAGAUGCUGGAUGUAAGUUGUGUCUAUGAGAUUAAAUUCGGAGGCAAGAAUGCUGUGUAGACCAAUAUGAAUCCCUGGAAAAAAGCUGGGAUAUAAAUCUAAUAAGUACAUAUCCCUUGAGGAGAUAUCUUUUAUCACAGGAAAGAGGCAAUGACAAACUACUUCCAAAAACCCCUGCCAACCAAACUGCAGGCAUUUGGCCAGACAAUCACCAGGAGUCAAGACUCAAGACAGACUCAAAGGCGCAAAAACAACGAAGGAGAAAAGCAUGAAAUACUAAUAAAUACAUACAUUAUGUGAUUGUGCAGAACUUUCAAAAAAGUCGCUCACCUUAUGAACAUAAGUUAUUCUUUCCACCUGCUAAAAACAGCCUUACUAUUCCAAAAAGCCUUGCCUGGACUGACUCUGCCCUGCCCCAGUUUCCUCCAAAGCCAAACGGAGCAAUCACUGUAAGUUUUUGUUCCAGCUCAUCUUCUCCUGCAGAUUCAGACUCCUGGGCAUGACAAAGAGUGGCUGAGGACCUAGAUAGGAUUAUAUCGAAGUAGUGUCUCUGUUCAAAAAAAUCCCAAAAUACUGCUUUGCCAGCAACUUACUAUAAACUCAUUAAGCAUGCUGCCUGCCAUUAUUAUUUUUCUGUAAUAUUUAACAUUUGUCAAUUUCUAUUUUUUUACAAUCAUGAUGCACUCUUCUAACUCUAUUUUAUUAUCAACUAAUAUGGUAUCAUCUACAUAUCUAAAACUGUAAAUGUCUUGAAAAUUGGCUGCCUUUUCCAGUCGAGCCAUUAUUAUACAUUUGUUUGCAUUGUUACCAUACAGCCCCUUAUUCUGAAUCAUUCUGUUUUUCUAAACCCAUUCCUUACAAUAACUUCUUGUUUCUCAUAAAUGAUUUUCAGAAUGAGAAUUCUGGUUCAUCUCUCCAUCUUAUGUAUAUCCACAUUCUACCAUGAUCAUGGCUACCACAGCAACCCUCAAGCUGAUGCAGACUUUGCCCAAAAUGGAACUAAGAAUCCAUUAAAAUGUUCAUGAAAUUGAUGUCAUGAGUGCUCAAAACAAAUGGCUGCAAGAAGACAUGUGAUCAGGCUCCAAUUUAGCAAUGAAAUGGAACCAUUAAAGCAUUGGUCUCUAUAGCAAUACUGAGAAAAUGCAAGGAGUGAAUGAAAAGUAGUGCCUCUAAAUUUCUAACACAUGGCAAAACUGAUGAUUUAGAAAUUCUGACAUUUUUUUCUGCUUUUUUAAUUUCAGUUGUCAGGAAAUUACCAUGACAAAAAGCUGUAUUGCUAGUGUUUGUGAAAUGAAAGUUUUCAGUGAGUGCGGAUCAGUACACUUUAAGUAACAUACCAUGAUUGAAUUCUUGACUACUGAUGAAUUCCUUCAUCCUUCAUUUCAUUCCAGUUGAACGUGAGGUUGUUUAUGGUAAUAAAUGUGUUCAAACAAUGUAAAAUAUGGUGAAUCAGGAAGAGUUGAUUGUGUAGUCAAGAACAAAGUGGAUGACUUGUAACAGCAACCAAUGACUUUCACAUAAGAAAGACUGAUAAACAAAUCAUGAACAGUUAAUAGAUCGUUCAAAGGCAAAUUGCUCCCAAACUUGGCAUUUCACAGAAACAAGUGGGUUGCAUUAUUGAUGUUGUUUAAUAUUGGAAAGUUUGUGCAAGACGUUCUUUGCUUGCUGAUGGUAGAAAUGAAAGCUUCUAAAGUUUAUAUUUGUCAGCAAUUAUUGUCAUGCUACCAGAAUUAAAGUAACUUCUUCAUUGCAUUGUGACAACCAACAAAACAUGGGCUUAUCAUUAUGUACACAAACCAAGUGUCAGUCUGUGAAAUCAUUACAAAGUUCAGUUGUGUGUGUGUGUGUGUGUGUGUGUGUGUGUGUGUGUGUGGAGCAGGGAUAUCAAACUGAUUUCUUCGACGGCCGGUUCAGCAUUGUAGUUCUCCAUGGGCUGGCCAAGGGGAGGGGGGGAGACGGGCCGGACGACUUCUGCAGCACCCUGCCGUCCGAAACGGAGCGUAGGGUCGUGCAUGCCCCCCCUGUGGCCUGUUUUCAGCGUAGACAGCCUCCUACAGCACCCUGCUGGUCAAAAGGAGGAGGCAGGAGACAGUCCAGGCCAAAAACAAGGUGCGAGGGGCCCACACACCCCGGGCCAGAUUUAAGGGUCAGGGAGAGAAUCAAAACUCAGGAUUAGACAGAAAAAACUCAUAUAGAUGCUUUGGGAUACAAGUAGUGUUGCUCACAUUGAUAUUCUUAAACUAUUAACUCAGCGCAAUGCAUGCAACACUCAAAGACUUCGAAAGAACAUAAAAUUCAUAAACAAGAGGGAAAUUAACAAUACUAGGAUUCAUACAUUAUGGAGUCAUCAAGAAACAUCUGUGAAGUUGGAUCUCUUCUAUCCACCAUACAAUCAAGACUUGGAACCAUGUGAUUCCCAACCUUCACAGCCUGGUGAGUCCAGAGAUUGGUCCUUUCUUAUUUCCUUCUGCCUUCCACACCUAAAACUGUGGCCUUAUAUGUACUUCAGAGCCAGCUUUCCACUUCCACCAUAACAUUAGUUUGUUUUCCUUCCGUUUGGUCCCCCUCCCACAGCAUGGCCUUUAAGGGCUAGUUUAAUGUUCAUCUGGAGCCAGCAAGUCUAGGAAGAGCUUCCUAUCUCUUCCCAAAAUCGGUGCCUCUAUUUACCUACCAUCUCUGGAUAUUCUUUUUCCUGCAUUCUGCGGAUUUUAGCUUAACAACGUUGCACAUUUUUCUGCCUUCCAGGAACUUCCUGAACCACUGGGGUGCUACCCAUAUCACCCACUUUUUCACCUUGGGACCGGCGGCCCUUAACUCCUUGCUGGCCAUUUGCAAGGGAAGGGAAGGAAGAGCCAGAGGGCCAAGAUGAGGCACCUUCUCUUUUGGAAAAGGCUGGGGGGGCCUGAGGGCUUGGCUGUGCCACAGUUGGUGGCUUACCGGUGCCCUUUGUUUGGUGUCAGCUGCUCAUGUCAGACAGAAGCCCGAACUCUCAAAACCAAGAAGCAGAGCUGCAUAAAAUCCUACCGUCUGAAAGCAAUUUAAGGAUGCAUGGGUGUUUAUGUUUACACAUUCCUUCUGUUAUUAGAUCCACACACAUGCAGACAGCCAGAUCCAGUAUGUAAAAAUAUAGAAAACGUAACUGGUGCCAGCAUUGGGAGGAGUUAGUGCGGUAGCUUCUCAGCUGUGACUGAGAUUGUCAUUGCAUAACCCUGCAUCUCUCAGUUUAAGACUACUUUACAAAUGCUCUGCAAAGGAGUUUACCAAGAGAGCAAAGAAAAAAUAACGAUGUUUGCAGCCCUUCUAAGCUUGUGUGGAAGUUUGUUAUGCAUUUUCAUGAACAUGUUUGUGAAGUCAUCAAGAACUGACCUGGACUUGAACACUUAUUUUUUUGUAAAUAAAUGCACCAUUAUGUUACAAAAGUAUGUUUGAUCAAUGCAGUAUUUUUGUAGGGAAACAGAAACCACUCCAUGCCUACAAAACUCUCUUCCAUAGCUGAAAUCUAAGUACAAGUAACCCUUUGCAAUUUCAGGCUUCAGACCAGCUCAUGAAAGAAGAACCAACGAAGCCUCGAUCACUGAACUCAUUAAAAUUGUUUUAAAAACACUUUGGCAUGGAAGGGCUACAAAACUAAUACUGAUACUCUCUCUCUCUCCCCAUUAAUCUAUCAUCUAAAUCUCUAAAAAUUCUCAAAAUAUUAUGCAAAAGAACUUUGUACAGAGAACAUUAAGGAAAGGCAAUAACAAAAAUCAGCAGGUUGUAUUUUUCACACCGUCCAAUAGAAGAUGCCACACCUGUUAUAUAUGAGCUGCAUGUCUGGGUAUCCAUUACAUUAGUCAUAUGUAAGAAUAUAUUAAACUCUCUCUCAAAUUGUUUGUAAAAACCAGAUUGUUGAUAUGAAGUACCAAUCUCUAUUUUUACACAAAUUAUGUUCACAUACGGAAAAGCUUAGCAUAUGCUUCUGAAAAUCACUUCUGUGGCCACACACAGUGAUGGUUUCAGCCAAUUCUCUUUCCACAAACUUGCUACAAGAUGUGGGUUUUCUUUCCAAAAAUGAGAGAUUUCUCAAUAACACAGGCCGCCCAUUUGUUCCUCCAACUGAGAGCCUGGCUUUGGCACAGCAGUUUCCUCACAUCUCACAUAUAUUAGGGAGCAGUUAAAUUUCUGUACAACAUGCUAAUUGCACAUCCCACUGUGUUGCCAGUUCUCUUGAAUAUGUACAGAUGUGUUUGACCUCCACAAAGCAGCAGUGGGAUGUUCGUGACUACUAACUAAAGUAGUGUACUGAAGCUGUUUGGGUUAGUUUAGACAGCAGAAUGCCGUCUCUCCUCCACCUCUCAUUCUACUGUGUUGUUUGGCAAAAAAACAGCAGACACUCAUGCUCAAUCCAGGGAGGGUUUAUUAGUCAGACUUCCCCAGAAGCUCUGCAGUCCUUAAGCCUUAGUUAUCAUUUACUUUAAAAUUACAGCCUAGACCAUAUUCACGAACUUUUGACACCCGAUAUUCAGCAUUCAGAUAACUACAUCUAAAUUUCAAAUUUGGAUAUAUUCUAAGUGCUGAGUUGAUAUUCAAACAAGUAUUUUCAGUACAUGUUUGUUUAUAUCCUGUAUUAUUUUUAAAAUAACUGAAGGUGGCAUGCAUAACCCACACCAUCCUCCUAUUCCCCCCCGCCCCACAACAACCCUAUGAGGUGGGUUGGGUGGAGUGUGAUGCCCAAGGUUACCCAGCUGGCUUUCAUGGCUAAGAUGGGAGUGGAAGUCACAGUGUUUGCCUUUCUAGCCUGGUGCCUUUAGCCACUAGACCAACAAGAGAUUUCUGUAUUUUUAAAAAAGAUUUUCUGUUGACCUUGUGCACUUUUAUUACAUAUUUGUAGAGGAGAGAUGGCUUCAGAUACAAUAAUACUAUACUGUAGUAUCUGUUUCCUAAUGUGGUCCAUCUAAUGUGGAACUAGCAAUGUGUGCAUUGGCAUUAAAGCUAACUUUUGCAGAACUCCUGCCAAAAGAUGCUGAUAAUGGUCUUGGACCUCAACACUGUAUUAUGCUUCCAUUUGCAGUACGGGCGUAUGACUAUAUAAUGCCCAGUCAAUAAUUACCAUAUUUUUUGAAGUAUAAGACGCACCUUUUUGCUUCAAGAAAGAGGCUGAAAAUCUGGGUGAGUUAUACACAUUUUUUGCCUCCCGAAGCCCCGCCCCUUCACCAAGGGGCAUAGAUUUAAGGAGGCUUUUAGACAGCUCCUGGGGGCUGGGGAGGGCAAAAAUGAGUGAAAAACGGCCUAUUUUUUGCCCCUCCCA